GACGAACGUUGGCGGUGCGCUUCAUGCAUGCAAGUCGAGGGAGAAGCAACCGUUCCGUAAGGAUCGGGUGUGGAAACCGGCGAACGGGUGCGUAACACGUGAGAAACCUGCCCCCAAGACCGGGAUAGCCCAGGGAAACCUGGAUUAAUACCGGAUACUCUCACCGAGCUGCAUGGCUUGGUGAGGAAAUGGUCCGCCGCUUGGGGAUGGUCUCGCGGCCUAUCAGGUAGUUGGUGAGGUAACGGCUCACCAAGCCGAAGACGGGUAGCUGGUCUGAGAGGACGAUCAGCCACACUGGAACUGAGACACGGUCCAGACUCCUACGGGAGGCAGCAGCAGGGAAUAUUGCACAAUGGGCGAAAGCCUGAUGCAGCGACACCGCGUGCGGGAUGACGGCCUUCGGGUUGUAAACCGCUUUCAGGAGGGAAGAAACUGACGGUACCUCCAGAAGAAGCUCCGGCCAACUACGUG
rnacentral:rRNA from 1 species